rnacentral:rRNA from 1 species
CAGCACCUCAAGUGGUCAGGAUGAUUAUUGGGCCUAAAGCAUCCGUAGCCGGCUCUGCAAGUUUUCGGUUAAAUCUGUACGCUCAACGUACAGGCUGCCGGGAAUACUGCAGAGCUAGGGAGUGGGAGAGGUAGACGGUACUCGGUAGGAAGGGGUAAAAUCCUUUGAUCUAUUGAUGACCACCUGUGGCGAAGGCGGUCUACCAGAACACGUCCGACGGUGAGGGAUGAAAGCUGGGGGAGCAAACCGGAUUAGAUACCCGAGUAGUCC